AUACGUAGGGUGCGAGCGUUAAUCGGAAUUACUGGGCGUAAAGCGUGCGCAGGCGGUUAUGUAAGACAGAUGUGAAAUCCCCGGGCUCAACCUGGGAACUGCAUUAGUGACUGCAUAGCUGGAGUACGGCAGAGGGGGAUGGAAUUCCGCGUGUAGCAGUGAAAUGCGUAGAUGUGCGGAGGAACACCGAUGGCGAAGGCAAUCCCCUGGGCCUGUACUGACGCUCAUGCACGAAAGCGUGGGGAGCAAACAGGAUUAGAUACCCUGGUAGUCCACGCCCUAAACGAUGUCAACUGGUUGUUGGGUCUUCACUGACUCAGUAACGAAGCUAACGCGUGAAGUUGACCGCCUGGGGAGUACGGCCGCAAGGUUGAA
rnacentral:rRNA from 1 species